rnacentral:rRNA from 1 species
CAAGUCGAACGAGAAUCUGCUGAAGGAGGAUUCGUCCAACGGAUGUAGAGGAAAGUGGCGGACGGGUGAGUAACGCGUGAGGAACCUGCCUUGAAGAGGGGGACAACAGUUGGAAACGACUGCUAAUACCGCAUGAAGCAUAGGGGUCGCAUGAUCCUUAUGCCAAAGAUUUAUCGCUUCAAGAUGGCCUCGCGUCUGAUUAGCUGGUUGGCGGGGUAACGGCCCACCAAGGCGACGAUCAGUAGCCGGACUGAGAGGUUGAACGGCCACAUUGGGACUGAGAUACGGCCCAGACUCCUACGGGAGGCAGCAGUGGGGAAUAUUGGGCAAUGGGCGCAAGCCUGACCCAGCAACGCCGCGUGAAGGAAGAAGGCUUUCGGGUUGUAAACUUCUUUUAAGAGGGAAGAGCAGAAGACGGUACCUCUAGAAUAAGCCACGGCUAACUACGUGCCAGCAGCCGCGGUAAUACGUAGGUGGCAAGCGUUGUCCGGAUUUACUGGGUGUAAAGGGC